AGCCGGCUUACCGGAGCGGUGACGUCACCGCCCUUCCCUGUGAUAACAGAGGCUGCAGCCGCUACAAAUGAUAAAUCUUAAACCGCUGCUAACGCGGAGGAAAUGAAGAACCGUAACUCAAAAGAGGCGUUUAAUGACCCGGGUGUGCCGUCGUCCGAAGAAUAUGUCGGAAUUCUUACAAAGAGUGCCUUACAAUCUUCUUUCUGCAAAGCUUGAUGUGAAAAUCAAUGAGUCGAAUGCUAAGGUCUUUAAAUUUGUUAAAGAGAUAGUUGUGUAUGUCAAGAUCCCGAGUGAAAUUACAGCCCUACUCAGGCACAUUUUGUUUGCUCCGUUAGACCAGGUCGCCCGGUGCAGUUCUUAUGGUUUUAGACAUGGGGAGCGGAAGGACGUUAUGAACGCUUUUUCAGAUGCAGCAAAGUUUCUGAGCAUUGUUGGGGUGAUCGUUACCUGUACCGAACUAAUUUUUCCGCACCAACAUUUCAUUGGUGAUUGCAAACAGGAGUCUGUCACGUGUGUGAACAAUUCAAAAGUGUGUGUUGUGAUGUUUCGGUGUUUGAAAACCUACUAAUGAAAUAAAGUGGUUCACAUUUCA